AAACAGCCAGUGGAGUUGGCUCUGCAUGGAUACGCUGAGCUGAAUUUGGAGCAAACACCAGCCCCUGUGCUGUAUGUAAUUAGAAGAUGCUUCCGGUGGGUGAGAUGCUGGAGGAGUGCUUUGGCCAUGUCAAACCGCAGUCUCUCUCCAGAUUCAAAUCCACAACACCAUCAACUUUAGAGGUAUUUCAAACCUUCCUUUCUCCAACUAAAAUGACAUCUCUAACCUAACUCUUCCAUCCACCUCAGCGCUCUUGGAGAGAAGCCACAGGAACUGCUCCAUGUUACCCUCAGCACUAGGCUUCAUUUGGUACCUGGCACUACUCCCAUGGAAGUCAACUGGAAGAGGCCAACAGACUUCCCUGAAAGCACAGUUAGGAUACAACUGGGAAACUUGCUGGAUUAGUGGCAACUUCCCUGCUGCCAGUUCCUGUUUCUCAACACAAAUGAGUGACAUUUGGUGGCAAAAACAAGGAAUGAGAUUGGUGGCCUUUGGAAGCAAGAGAAGAUGGAGGGAUAUGGGGCCAGCAAAGCUGAGAAAUGAAGUGCAACAUUCUUUCUGAAGGACAAAAUCCCAGUUUAUUGUACACCAAGACACCUACGAGCAGAUAAAACCUUUAGACUGACUGCAAAACAACUUCUGUUUGGUUCUUCUGAUAUCCAUGGAGAAAAUCAUAGAAUCUUGAAGGUUGGAAAGACCGCCAGGUUCACCAAGUCCAACCACUGACCCACCCCCAGCAUGCCCACUGACCACAUCCCUCAGCACCACAGCUUCACAGUUCUUGAACACCUUCAAGGGCAGUGACUCCACCACCCAAUAUCCAACCCAAAUCUCCCCUGGCACAACGUAAAGCAAUUACCUCUCGUCCCACUGAGGCACUACUCAUGCUCACCAUUUCCUGGCAUCGUGACCAACAGGGCUGGUUGCUCUCACUUCUGAAUGCGUUUCACCCUGAUAAAAUGCCAAAAUAUCCAAUAGCUGAAGGCUGGGAAGCAGAGUGGGUACUUUUUACAGGCAGCAGUACCUUACCUGCACCCGUAUCAGCAGAGUGUCAGUCCUGUCUCUCUAGAAGAUGGAUGGAAUAGUGAUGGAGAACUUAACUGAAUAGUUUUCACACCUGGUACUCUUAUGACACACAGUAUGCUCUGUGCUAGGAAGCUGCUGCAGACGGCAUAUUAGGACAUCUGAGUGCAAAGCAGCUGAUAGGAGGGUGAACCAAUAAGACCAAGGUGAGUGCCUGUGAAACUUGGGAGUUGCUUGAAUGAGCCCAUCAAGGAGCCCUGCAGCAUCCCAAGGUCCUGCAGUGUAACCAGGAGGGCUGAACAGAGAGAGAGGACAGAUGAAUUGGCCCACUUUGGCUGGGGGAGACUAAAGAAAGGUCCAAUACACACUGCCAAAGGGAGGAGGAUGGACGGGGUGACACCUGAAGAUCCCUUUCAACAUCACCUCUCCAUUUGCACUUCACCAGCUGCCAGCACAUGAAGAUGGGUCUCCUCCAGACAACUUAGCUCCCAGUAAGCAAAGGCCAUGAUCCAUGGUGUAAAAGGAAAACCUGGACCCAAAACAAACAAAAGAAAAAUCACUGUGCCAGAGAUGCCCAGUUCAUUACUCAGUACAACAUAACAGAGCAAUGUUGCAAUUUGAAGCUCAGUGCAUCUGCCUUGCUCUAUAUACACUGUAGUCUUGAUUGCUUAUCACCUCCUGCUAAUGGCAGUAUUUGCCACAAAAACUUAAUUAUUUAUCUUCUCUGGGAGAGUAUUUUUCCUGAUUCAAGCCUUCAGGAGUGCAGUGCAGGAUGCAUUUGGCCCCACUGGGCAUUCUUAUACUCUCACCACUGAAAUCUGGAACAAAGGCCAAUAAUCUGGGACAAACUCUAAAAAUACAGCAGAUGCUCUGGGACGUGUUUUAUUGGUCCUUCUAUGUGUGCUUUGAGCAUGUCAGAAAGCACAAGGCCACAGGUAAGAGCUGAAAGCCAAAGCUGCAGCGUGGUCCAGCUGGCUGCAGAGACGGCAGCAGGAAGGAUGGGGUUGGUUGAAAUAUCCCCGCUGGCAUGGAUGAUUUCAGUGGCACGACGCUUCCAUGUGAACCUUCUCACUGAUGGAUUGCAAAUGGUUUUAAAGGGCCAAGUCCAGCUUUUUAAAUAAAACUUGGAAUUUGAAGGAUGAUGCUCUUCUGCCAACCAAACACCUAGGGAGGGAGGAAGGCAAGGGAGCUGGAGAGGCAUUUUGAGAAUGGUGCAUGCCUCCUAUCCUACCCACAGCACUGCGUGAGGAACCACGAUGGGAAAUGCAGCCAGAACACACCAUUUUGCUGCCCUGGGUCCCCCAGUCCGUGCUCCUCACCUGUUGCAGGCAAUGUGGGUUCCCUCACAGGGCUGCAGAGCGAUCAGAGGGGCUGCAUCACUGCCCUGCAUGCUGCAAAAUAAAUCCACGUCAGUGCAUAAAGGGGGAGAGAAAGGAAACGCCGGGUCCCUUCCCUCCGUAUUUUCCGUGUUUUAUAACACCUCUGUCAGCACACAUUGCCAUUCACUGCAGAAAUUACAUCUCACGAGCGCUACAAUAAGGAUUUGAAGACAAAUGACACGCGAGCACCACAGCUCUGUGCCGGCUUAAGCGAUCCCAAUACCUUCAUCACAUACGGGGUAUCGGGAUGCACGCAGCCCACUUGUUCCAAAUGCCACACGGCAAAGAUUGAGCGUCACAGGACUCCGGGCGGCACGAAACCAGCCCGGACAGAAUGUGUUUUAAAUGCAGGAGGGCUUUCAGACCGCGGGGUGCAAUGAUGGCACCUAACCCUAACCCUAACCCUAACCCUAACC
ensembl:lncRNA